CAACCCUUGACAUCCUGUGCUAUAUCCAGAGAUGGAUAGUUCCCUUCGGGGACGCAGUGACAGGUGCUGCAUGGCUGUCGUCAGCUCGUGUCGUGAGAUGUUCGGUUAAGUCCGGCAACGAGCGCAACCCACAUCCCUAGUUGCCAGCAGUUCGGCUGGGCACUCUAUGGAAACUGCCCGUGAUAAGCGGGAGGAAGGUGUGGAUGACGUCAAGUCCUCAUGGCCCUUACGGGUUGGGCUACACACGUGCUACAAUGGUAGUGACAAUGGGUUAAUCCCAAAAAGCUAUCUCAGUUCGGAUUGUCGUCUGCAACUCGACGGCAUGAAGUCGGAAUCGCUAGUAAUCGCGUAACAGCAUGACGCGGUGAAUACGUUCCC
rnacentral:rRNA from 1 species